CUCUUGUUUUUGUGGUCGACUCUACACGCCUCCUCAUAAAGCCCUGGCAAGCGGUUGGCAAGCUGAACUGCACGGUCCUACUCGCCCUGCGAUGUGUGGGCCUCGAACCUGGUUCUCCGGCAUGGGAGUUGGACGCUCUAACGAGGAGGCUAAAGACUGCAACCUCUAGCAUCAGUCGCUAGAGCAUCUCUUGAGAUCAGAGGAGUGAGGUUUACUCGCACAGCGGCUACUAGCUGGCCUCCGUUACACUCAACCCCCUAAACCUCACUCCCAUCCGGGUCACGGCACCAAUGUGACUCUGUGUGUGUUGGAUGGAAUAAUUCAGGCUGAGAUCAGGUGGAUGGUCACUCAAAGUUGCUUUACUGGGCCUGGGACAAACAGCACCAAAAGGCUGAUCAGUAUACAGUGCAUCGAUGUUGCAUGAGAAGUCAGCAGGACGAGAUAUGCGUCUCUGCUGAUUACAUAGCUCCGCCCCGCAAUAUGUGCACAAACGCGAGCAACACAAGUUUUCCCAAUUUAUGCUGAAUUUAACUAACCUGAACAUUUAGAAAAUAUUAUUUCAAGAAAUUUACAGCAUUUGUACUGGCUUGUCUAUUUAUCUGCUCUGUGAGAGCUGUGAGUGGAGGGAGGGGGGUGUUUUAAUAAUUAUUGAAAAAAUUAUAAUUGUCUUUUAUUGACAAAAUAUUUUAGUUUGUCAUGUAUAUUUAUUGAUUAGAUCAGAUAAUAUUUUAAGCUGUCCUAUGGCUGUGUUACAAUGUGAAAAAAGUAUAGACUGUAUUAAUGAAACAAAGCCACAUAUUUGUACCAGAAAUGUGUGAAAUUAAUUUGGAAAAAAAUGCUCUGAAUUUAAGUAGACUUACACAAACUGAGAAAGUCAAAAAGCGUUAGGUUGUGCCCCUCUCUCCCCCUACAGCGAAUCUGUGCUGCCUUCAAAAUCUGACCAGACACCUUAAUAGAUAGGAUGUGUCUUGUUGCCUUACUAUCUCCAUAUACUAUGAAGGCAGCAUUUUCAGCUUUCAGUUUACAGCAUCCAUAAAGAAAUAUGUACAUUAAUUGUCUUAGUUGGUCAAAGUGCAUUUCUUUGAGAGAGAUACUAUGGUCAUAAAUGUUCUUCAUUCUCAUGAAAGCAAUAAAGAGAUAACAUUGACAGAAAAAAAAUGAGAGCAAGAGAGCAGUUGAGGUAAAUGUGACAUUUUUGCCAGUGUAUCUCAUCAUUCAUUAUGGUGUGAAUCAAAGUGGACAAGAAGACACUAGGACUGUGUUGGCACAGCUGUGCUGUCAUAGAUAAAUGGGCUAUUGCUUGAUAUCUUAAUGGCUCUCAUACGCACACACACACACACACACAGUACACAGAGCCACACGCGGCCCUCAUGAUGGUCUCCUUUCUCAUUCAUUUGCUCAGUGAGUGGAAGCAGGGCAUUGGGUCAAACUCAGCCGUUAAAUAGCAUCUUACAAACACCAGACAGCCGUGUAGUACAAGGGUGCAGCUCUCAAAGCAGCUUUCACAGGUCAAUAUGACAUUCGGUUUGAUAAUGAGACGAAGUUAAUUUGACAACAUGAUCAACAUUCAUUCUUUAAGUUUGGCACAGCCUAUUUACUCAUAUCUCUUCAUCUCUAAUUCAUGCAAUGAAGCUCAAUGAAUGUGACGAAGAGAGUUGUUUUCAUAAUAUUUCAGCCGUUAUAUUUUCACAACAGUACAUCACAGUAGUUUCUAACUGAAAUUAAGUUAUGUUUCCUUCUUGGUUUAAAAUUAAACCUUUUUAAACAAGAAAAACUGUUUGAAAAUGGGGUGACCACAAUAUCAAAGCUAAAAGAAAUACUGAUAAUUAUAAUGUAAUAUAAUAUUGCAACUCAGUAUUUUAAAAUCAUUCAAAUAUGUCACACAUCACUUUAAUGCUUUUGCUGCUUUUGUCCCCAUAAAUUAUACCUGCCAUCAAAGACAUAAAGAAAAGAUGUCAUGAAUCAUCUGGUGAUCAUGGUGUUGUCUAAAAGCAUUCAGAAGUGUGAACUUGUCUGUAUAAACUGUGUGAAUGUGUUUGAAUGCACUAAUCUCGUCUGGACUGACCCAAUCUCCUCCUUUUAAUCAGCAAGACAGUGGACAGAUAAACAUGUCAAAUCCACAUGAGUGAGUGGCACGUUCAGCACAAGGCCUGAGGAAGUUGCAGACAGCUGUUUUGAUGAAGACUUUCUGUCUUAUCAGUUUGAUAAACGAUACCUGUGAAGAGUGCAAAAUGCUGAAGGACACAAAACUACAAGUUAUAAUGUGUGGAGGGAGAAAAGGGCUGAGACAACGGGAAUGAUGCAUUUCAGACUGAAACAUACAAACUAAAGAAGAAAAGGCAGAGAGGACGAUCAUGGCUGGAGAGAAAGGCAGAAUACUGAGUUUAAACUCCAGUUGAUUGUCAGAUGUCAGCAACAUUUAGCCUUCAACACACUGAUAAAGGGGCUGCUUAUGUUGAUAUGGCCACUAUUACCCUUUGGCUCUCCGUCACUGUCUUGUCAAAUGCUUCACACAAACUUUUUCAGUGAUAAGGAGGCACUAUAAACCACUGUGAUUUGCAGAGAGAUGAGGUUAAUUAAUACCCAGAGAUUUUAGCUUUAAAUUUUCUUAAGAGACAGUUUAAUUCAGAUAUAGGCUAAUUCAGAGCACCAUGCAGGAUAUAGAUAGAUAUUGCCUAAGCAGCAACACUUUUUAUGGCCGGUUCUUAUAUACUGACACAGUAAUAUCUUUAGAUCAAUGGAUAUGGCAAGUGACAUCUCAUUUUCCCAGGGUUAUAUUAAAACUGGUAAAUCACUUAAAUUCAUACAUUCAGUAAAAUGUUUCUAUUUUACAUUUUUCUAAUGCAAAAAAAAAAAAAAAAAGUAUUGCAAAUGAUCUCAGCAUAGUAAUUUGAGUGUAUAACCUUGUUAUUUUAGUUUUAUUUAUAUAUGAUUAUAGAAUUUAUGAAUAUUUUGAAUUAACUUUUUUUUUUUUUUUUGGUUCUACAUGUUAAACUUACUAUAUUUCUGUUAAUUGCCAAAGCAACAUUUCUAAUUUUCAUGUAUGUUUUUCCUCUAAUAUUUAUAUUUUUGUCAUGUACUGACUUGACUUGAUAACCCGCAACAAAGUUGCAUGAUGCAGAAGGAUGAUGAACUCACAUUUAAUAAUCACUAGGAACAGAGAAACAGCAGCACAAAACAUUAACACAAGACAAUGAUCAGAGGAUGACUGGAGGUUUAAAUACAUAAAGGUAACAAGACACUAAGUGAAGGACAGGUGUAGAUGAUCAGUGGCAUGAUAACAAACAAGGGUUUCUAUGGAUACUAAUACGAUUACAAUGCAACAGGAACUAAGGGACUGUUUACACAACACCUUUUUCAACUAAAAACAGAAAACUUUUUAUGCAUUUUGGCCACUCAUUUACACGAUAAUGGCUUUUUGGUGGCCUGAAAACGCAAACUUUUGAAAACGGUCUCUGUGUAAACAACAAAAACGCAUAUCUGUGAACAUGAUGACGUCAUGCACAUACAUGUUCAGUCAGGGUUUCAUCAAAAUAAAAGUCCUUGAACACAGAGACAGGGAAUCGUGACAAUUUUAUUUAAGCUUUAUUUCAAUUAAUGAAAACAUUUUAAUAGAUUUAGCUUUAGUUAACAAUAACAACACUGAUAUAUAAUAUGAAUGAAAUAAAAAUCUAAUCUUAAUUUCACAUUUGUGAAUUUUCAAAAGAGCAAGCAACAUCUGACCUUCUGUACAAAGAAGUUCACAUGCUCAAUGUCACACAGUUACAUAUUAGACUGGUGACCUAGAAAUACAAUUAAUUUUAACUAAUAACUUUCCAAACCCUAAAACGUUAUUUCUUUUGAGGUUUAAAUAAAAUAAAACACACUUCUUUAAAAUGUCUCAGAUUUUUUGGACCUACUGAUGUCAUAACUGCAAUUUUUUCUUCUAGUGACUGCAAAAGUACUUUAGAAAUCAAGCUAAAUUAUGACUGACAGCAAAGACCAGUCUUUCCUGUAUAUUGCUUCUGCACUCAAACAGGUGGCACACAUGACAGAGCAGCAGCACUUUUUUGAGUUGUUGACCUCAGGGCUGCAGGCCUGUGCUGUUGAGUCAUGCUCUGCCACACGUACCGCAUUUGGUAACGAUGCCUGGACACCCACCUUAUUUACCAAGACACAAGGAGUGUUACGCAAUGUGGAUGAAGUUCCCUUUAGUUGUGAUAGAGAGAGGGAAUGGAGGAAAUGAAACACUGGAUAGAUGGUGCUGCAUUUUAAACCAGCAUGUCUGCACCUGCAUAUGGUACAUGUGCACAUGGCCGUGUGUGUCUGUUUACGUGUACAUGCAUCAUUUGUGUUUGUGUGAACACUGAGAAUUAUGAACUUAGUUAUGGAUUUACAUUUGCUAACUGCAAUUUCUGAUAUGGAAAUCAAAAAAGUGAAUGUGCUUUUUCGUUAUGUGUGAGAGAAAGAGAUAAUAAGAAAGAGUGUGAGUGAGAGAAAGAGAAGAAAAAAGAAAGCGAGAAGCAUGUAGUGAGGGGGCUUGAGUAUUUCUAGGAAGUGUAAUUUGAUACGUCUGUUUACCAUACACAGAGAGCACAUGUGGCAAAGAAUAAUAUGUCCAAGAACAUAGAUAUUUAUCCAGUAACGGAACACAUACUCAGAGGAAUAAAACUAUAUUUACAUAUAAAUAUGUGUUUGUGUCACAUUCAGUUCUACAUCAUAUGAUUUGUCUGUCUUAUUGCCAUGAGUGCAAAUGUUUUUGUUGUGAAAAAUAUAUUCUUUUGUGAAGGUUGAGUAAAUGAUUUCUGAAUAUUCAUUUUGGGUGAACUACCCUUUUAAUAUUAAUCUGCACACAUGUACAGUUUGAUAUGUGUGGUUCAACACACUGGCUUUGUUUUGCAUCCUUCCCACUAUGUUUCCUUAUAGUGUAUUUACUUUUUUUUUUGUGGAGUAAGAGGCUGUCUUUUGUUUUUAAUCAAAGGUGGGCAUUUCAGUGAUCAAUCAAAGUGAUCUGGGAUCAGUGUUUUCAUCAUCAGCACAAUAGCAGAGUGUUAAUUUCAUUUAACCAUCAUUGUUAAACUGAUCAUCACCAUCUUUCAUUAUCUGAUAAUUAUAUUACGAAAGCUUUAGUCAUGCAUGUCACAUCUUGAGUUUUUAAUACUUUUAUACUUUAGUCCAUUGUAUUUAAUCCACCCAAAUAUAAAAAUGGUAUCAUUAUUGUUCCAAACCUGUAUGACUUUCUAGUUUCUUUCAUCCGUGGGACAUAAAAAAUAAAUAUUUUUCAAUACAAUGCAAGUCACCAAAAUUGUUUGGUUAAAAACACUCUUCAGAGUAUCUUCUUUUGCAUAAUAGAAAGAUACACAGGUUUGGAACAGCAUGAGGGUGAGUAAAUAAUGACAGAACUUUCAUUACUAUCCCAUACAAUUCUGUUUUCCUGUUAUAUUUGUUUGCUUUUCUGGAAUACUGUUUUCCUCUUUCUCCCUAUUUGCCAGUUUGGUCUCUCCCCUUCUACCCAGUGGUCUCUGUUUUCACUCAUCUCCUCACGCUCUCCUCAGCGUGAUCGUGUUUUUGGAACGCUGGUUCAAUCCAGUCUCCUCUGAUUUCUCCCCCUUUUCUCUCCUCUCUGGCUGUUUUCAUUCCAACACUGCUGUC